UGUUAAAAAAUUAAUCCAUUUAUGCUUAAAACCUAUGCAGCUGAUGGAAUACCCAGACGAUAACACGCGACAUGCCACGUGUAGCUCACAUUGACGUAUAAAAACUAAUUUUUAACAGUAGAAAUGGAUAAAACUUUUAAUA
rnacentral:pre_miRNA from 1 species